AAUUAUAAUUUUUUAAUUUUGCAAUUCCUGUACUAAUUUUCCAAAUGUUUCUAAGUUUCAAAGUAAAACGAGCAGUUAACCCCAAAAAAUUUUCUGUAUAACAGCAUGUUUAUAAGGAGCUUACGGUCAAACGCCUUUCUCCUUACUUGUAUACCGGUUCCGUUCCUCUUCGGAGAGAAGCAUAUCCCUUAUGCGUGCGUCAUGCGAUAGAAAACGAGACGAUAAGAAAUAGAGCGUGCACUUGCACGUAUUACCCAGUCCGACGAAUAAAUGGCGGCAUAUACAACAGUGGACCAAAUAAACGAUGAAUCACGCAUGGUGAGUUUAAAGAGAGGAUUUUUACCAAACACAAGCGACAAUGGAAUAUCUAUUCCAGGAAGUAUACGCC